CGGGGCGUGGCGCAGUUUGGCUAGCGCGCUUGCAUGGGGCGCAAGAGGUCGCUGGUUCAAGUCCAGUCGCCCCGACCA
rnacentral:tRNA from 3 species